rnacentral:rRNA from 1 species
UACAGGGGGGCAAGCGUUGCUCGGAAUCACUGGCGUAAAGCGCACGUAGGCGGAUUGUUAAGUCAGGGGUGAAAUCCUGGAGCUCAACUCCAGAACUGCCUUGAUACUGGCGAUCUCGAGUCCGGGAGAGGUGAGUGGAACUGCGAGUGUAGAGGUGAAAUUCGUAGAUAUUCGCAAGAACACCAGUGGCGAAGGCGGCUCACUGGCCCGGUACUGACGCUGAGGUGCGAAAGCGUGGGAGCAAACAGG